UCCUACGGGAGGCAGCAGUGGGGAAUUUUGGACAAUGGGGGCAACCCUGAUCCAGCCCUCCCGCGUGUGGGAUGAAGGCCUUCGGGUUGUAAAACACUUUUGGCAGGAAAGAAAGGGCAGUGGUUAAUUCCCUGGGUAACUGACGUACCUACAGAAUAGA
rnacentral:rRNA from 1 species